rfam:Bacillus pseudofirmus OF4, complete genome.
AUGAAAGUAGGGGGAGAGACUGCGUAUUAGCUGCGCAGCGCCGAAGGAGCAAGCAAAAUUUGUGAAUCUCUCAGGCAAAGAAGACUCUUACAGGACG